rnacentral:rRNA from 1 species
UGUCUAGUCUGUACUGACGCUGAGGCUCGAAGCAUGGGUAGCGAACAGGAUUAGAUACCUGGUAGUCCAUGCCGUAAACGAUGAGUGCUAAGUGUUGGAGGGUUCCGCCCUUCAGUGCUGCAGCUAACGCAUUAAGCACUCCGCUGGGGAGUACGACCGCAAGGUUGAAACUCAAAGGAAUUGACGGGGGCCCGCACAAGCGGUGGAGCAUGUGUUAAUUCGAAGCUACGCGAAGAACCUUACCAGGUCUUGACAUCUUCUGCCAAUCUUAGAGAUAAGACGUUCCCUUCGGGGACAGAAUGACAGGUGGUGCAUGGUUGUCGUCAGCUCGUGUCGUGAGAUGUUGGGUUAAGUCCCGCAACGAGCGCAACCCUUAUUAUCAGUUGCCAGCAUUCAGUUGGGCACUCUGGUGAGACUGCCGGUGACAAACCGGAGGAAGGUGGGGAUGACGUCAAAUCAUCAUGCCCCUUAUGACCUGGGCUACACACGUGCUACAAUGGACGGUACAACGAGUCGCGAAGUCGUGAGGCUAAGCUAAUCUCUUAAAGCCGUUCUCAGUUCGGAUUGUAGGCUGCAACUCGCCUACAUGAAGUUGGAAUCGCUAGUAAUCGCGGAUCAGCAUGCCGCGGUGAAUACGUUCCCGGGCCUUGUACACACCGCCCGUCACACCAUGAGAGUUUGUAACACCCAAAGCCGGUGAGAUAACCUUCGGGAGUCAGCCGUCUAAGGUGGGACAGAUGAUUAGGGUGAAGUCGUAACAAGGUAACCA